GAUGAACGCUGGCGGCGUGCCUAAUACAUGCAAGUCGAACGUACGGACGAGAAGCUUGCUUCUCUGAUGUUAGCGGCGGACGGGUGAGUAACACGUGGAUAACCUACCUAUAAGACUGGGAUAACUUCGGGAAACCGGAGCUAAUACCGGAUGAUAUUUUGAACCGCAUGGUUCAAAAGUGAAAGACGGUCUUGCUGUCACUUAUAGAUGGAUCCGCGCUGCAUUAGCUAGUUGGUAAGGUAACGGCUUACCAAGGCAACGAUGCAUAGCCGACCUGAGAGGGUGAUCGGCCACACUGGAACUGAGACACGGUCCAGACUCCUACGGGAGGCAGCAGUAGGGAAUCUUCCGCAAUGGGCGAAAGCCUGACGGAGCAACGCCGCGUGAGUGAUGAAGGUCUUCGGAUCGUAAAACUCUGUUAUUAGGGAAGAACAUAUGUGUAAGUAACUGUGCACAUCUUGACGGUACCUAAUCAGAAAGCCACGGCUAACUACGUG
rnacentral:rRNA from 1 species